AGCAGAAGCAGACGCCUGGGCAGUUUAAGAAACCUCUGCGCUUUGAAAAGAAGGAGGGGACAACUCCUGAGAGUCCUAGCUCGCCUGUCUGCAGGUGCCGCUGGGCAGAUCCAUGAGGACGCUUGCUGGACGUUUGCUUCUGUUCCUGUGGCUGCAGCUGCACUGUGUGAGUGGAGGAGAGCAGGUGGAGCAGAGUCCUGCUUUCCUGAGUGUUCAGGAGGGAGACGACUGUGUCAUCAACUGCACUUACACAGACAGUACCACCACCUACUUACACUGGUAUAAGCAGGAACCUGGAGAAGGUCCCCAGUUCCUUGUAAGUAUUAUUUCUGCUCAGGACAAGAAAGAAGACCAAAGAUUCACUGUCCUGAUGAACAAGAAGGACAAGCAUGGCUCCCUGCACAUCUCAGCUGCCCAUCCUGUAGACUCAGCCACCUACUUCUGUGCAGCAAGUGCACAGUGUUCCCCCUGCACCUGCAGCCUGUACCCAAACCUGCAGUGGGGCUGAAGACAGGCUCAUCUCUGCUUGUGCUUUGAGUUAUGGAUUGUUCUAUGUUUGAUUGCUAAUAUGUGGACAUGCUAAGCCAUCUUUUAUGAAAGUCAGCUUGUAAAUGCGUCAUCAAUUGUUAGAACAUUGUGAAUGAACACCCCCCUUUUUUGGGAGUUAGUAAUCUUUGGUUAGAGCAAAAGGCUUCAGGGUUGAACUUACUGUUGCAAUUCAGAAUUGUCCUUUCCUGGGGACAUCCUAAGGUCCAUUUCAGAGACAUUCUUCUUAGUGGUGAGCUGUCUUUUCAUAAUACUACUUAUGGAAUUCUUCUGAUUAUGGAAUUAUUAACUGCACCAUAUGUGAAAUCAGCGAAAUGUAACAAAUUAAAUUGUCUUGUAAUCUUUCAUACAAAGAAAUCUUGACUAAUAUUUAGUAGU